rnacentral:rRNA from 1 species
AUUGAACGCUGGCGGCAUGCUUUACACAUGCAAGUCGAGCGGCAGCGCGGGGGCAACCCUGGCGGCGAGCGGCGAACGGGUGAGUAAUGCAUCGGAACGUAUCCUCGAGUGGGGGAUAACCCAGCGAAAGUUGGGCUAAUACCGCAUGAGCUCUGAGGAGGAAAGCGGGGGACCUGCGAGGGCCUCGCGCUGGAGGAGCGGCCGAUGUCCGAUUAGCUAGUUGGUGGGGUAAAGGCUUACCAAGGCGACGAUCGGUAGCUGGUCUGAGAGGAUGAUCAGCCACACUGGGACUGAGACACGGCCCAGACUCCUACGGGAGGCAGCAGUGGGGAAUUUUGGACAAUGGGGGCAACCCUGAUCCAGCCACGCCGCGUGAGUGAAGAAGGCCUUCGGGUUGUAAAGCUCUUUCGGACGGAACGAAAUGGGCGGGACUAAUACUCCUGUCUGAUGACGGUACCGUAAGAAGAAGCACCGGCUAACUACGUG